AGUUCGAUCCUGGCUCAGGAUGAACGCUAGCUACAGGCUUAACACAUGCAAGUCGAGGGGCAGCAUUUUAGUUUGCUUGCAAACUAAAGAUGGCGACCGGCGCACGGGUGAGUAACACGUAUCCAACCUGCCGAUAACUCGGGGAUAGCCUUUCGAAAGAAAGAUUAAUAUCCGAUAGUAUAUUAAAACCGCAUGGUUUUACUAUUAAAGAAUUUCGGUUAUCGAUGGGGAUGCGUUCCAUUAGUUUGUUGGCGGGGUAACGGCCCACCAAGACUACGAUGGAUAGGGGUUCUGAGAGGAAGGUCCCCCACAUUGGAACUGAGACACGGUCCAAACUCCUACGGGAGGCAGCAGUGAGGAAUAUUGGUCAAUGGACGAGAGUCUGAACCAGCCAAGUAGCGUGAAGGAUGACUGCCCUAUGGGUUGUAAACUUCUUUUAUAUGGGAAUAAAGUAUUCCACGUGUGGGAUUUUGUAUGUACCAUAUGAAUAAGGAUCGGCUAACUCCGUGCCAGCAGCCGCGGUAAUACGGAGGAUCCAAGCGUUAUCCGGAUUUAUUGGGUUUAAAGGGAGCGUAGGUGGAUUGUUAAGUCAGUUGUGAAAGUUUGCGGCUCAACCGUAAAAUUGCAGUUGAAACUGGCAGUCUUGAGUACAGUAGAGGUGGGCGGAAUUCGUGGUGUAGCGGUGAAAUGCUUAGAUAUCACGAAGAACUCCGAUUGCGAAGGCAGCUCACUAGACUGCAACUGACACUGAUGCUCGAAAGUGUGGGUAUCAAACAGGAUUAGAUACCCUGGUAGUCCACACAGUAAACGAUGAAUACUCGCUGUUUGCGAUAUACAGUAAGCGGCCAAGCGAAAGCAUUAAGUAUUCCACCUGGGGAGUACGCCGGCAACGGUGAAACUCAAAGGAAUUGACGGGGGCCCGCACAAGCGGAGGAACAUGUGGUUUAAUUCGAUGAUACGCGAGGAACCUUACCCGGGCUUAAAUUGCAUUUGAAUAAUCUGGAAACAGGUUAGCCGCAAGGCAAAUGUGAAGGUGCUGCAUGGUUGUCGUCAGCUCGUGCCGUGAGGUGUCGGCUUAAGUGCCAUAACGAGCGCAACCCUUAUCUUUAGUUACUAACAGGUCAUGCUGAGGACUCUAGAGAGACUGCCGUCGUAAGAUGUGAGGAAGGUGGGGAUGACGUCAAAUCAGCACGGCCCUUACGUCCGGGGCUACACACGUGUUACAAUGGGGGGUACAGAAGGCAGCUACCUGGCGACAGGAUGCUAAUCCCAAAAACCUCUCUCAGUUCGGAUCGAAGUCUGCAACCCGACUUCGUGAAGCUGGAUUCGCUAGUAAUCGCGCAUCAGCCAUGGCGCGGUGAAUACGUUCCCGGGCCUUGUACACACCGCCCGUCAAGCCAUGAAAGCCGGGGGUACCUGAAGUACGUAACCGCAAGGAGCGUCCUAGGGUAAAACUGGUAAUUGGGGCUAAGUCGUAACAAGGUAACC
rnacentral:rRNA from 1 species